rnacentral:rRNA from 1 species
CACGCCGUAAACGAUGGUUACUAGCUGUUCGAACUUCGGUUUGAGUGGCUAAGCGAAAGUGAUAAGUAACCCACCUGGGGAGUACGUUCGCAAGGAUGAAACUCAAAGGAAUUGACGGGGGCCCGCACAAGCGGUGGAGCAUGUGGUUUAAUUCGAUGAUACGCGAGGAACCUUACCAGGGCUUAAAUGUAGAUUGACAGGACUAGAGAUAGUUUUCCUUCGGGCAAUUUACAAG